UGUGGAGCAGAUGUAUUAAGCCUGGAGAAGAGAUAAUGCAGUGAUGAAGAAGUGAUAAGUGGAAGGUGAUAAAGCACCAGCCAAUCAGCUUCAAAUUGUCAUUUUUCAAACCUAGAGCUUUUUCAUGGAGAAUGAACAAUACAUUACAACAUCGAUGCCAAAAGAUAAUCACAAUGAAGCUGAAGCACAAUAAGAAAUCAGCAUUCUCUCAAGUCAUGGACAGUCAAGUAAACUGGACAUUGAGGAACCUCAACAAAGGGAGAGGCUUUACGUACAGUAAAUAGAGUUCACAUAAUUGCAAGCAGUGAUACACAGAGCACUUGGAGACAGACAGCAAAAAUAGAAUACUUCACUAUCACAGAAAAAAACAGCUAUGAGAAACUGUAAAAGGAAUUGUGUGAGAAGAACUCACUCCUAAGGAAGAAUUAUAAAAAUGAACAUACAGUAUGCAAAAA